AGCCACCUGCUUAUAUAGGUGGUUAGACCUGCCCGGUGUGGAAGUAUUAACGGCCGCAGUACUUUGACUGUGCUAAGGUAGCAUAAUCAAUUGACUUUUAAAUGGAGUCGGGAAUGAAUGGUAGAACUGGGCUUGGCUGUCUCAAGAGUAAUUAAUUGAAUUUACUUUUUAAGUGAAAAAGCUUAAAUUUUAUAAAAAGACGAGAAGACCCUAAGAAUUUUGACAAAUAAAAAAUUAGUUUUUAUUGGGGCGAUAAAGAAACAGGUUUAAACUUUCUUGUUGGAACAAGCCGAUAUUGUUAAGAUCGAAUAAAUUACCUUAGGGAUAACAGCAUAAUUUUAAAGUUAAGUUUGUGACCUCGAUGUUGGACUAGGAAACUGGCAGGCUAGCCGUUUGCCAUGUGGGUUCUGUUCGAACUUUUA
rnacentral:rRNA from 1 species